AGAAAUGCAUCAUAUUUACAAUGAUCAAAUAUAAAUGAGAAGUCUGUGUGCCUAUCUGACAGUGAAUGGCAUUAUCCAUUGGUCCAGAGGGGAACAGCAGGACCAGGCACUCCUCUUCAGAUCCCCAGGCCUCACCAAUCGGAACCAGAUUUUGGAGAAAGAAAAAAUAAACAUCACAAGGUUUAUCCUCAAAAAACUGGCUGGAGAAGCAGACACGCAUACCACCAACAGCAAGGAUACGAGGGCAAAAGUGGUAGACAUUGUAAGAGGUAAAGCAAAGUUCAGUGGAGAGAGGUAAGAAGAAAACCUAAAGCCAAAUCUGGUGGACUGAAAAAAUUCCAUCAAGGAGUCACCAUCUAAUGCACAUUAUGUAAGACUGAUACUUAAAUAUUUAUUGUCUGUAAAAUCGUAUGAUCUCUUUUUUUUUUUUUUUUACAAAUGUGUCCCUUAAAAUGAUUCAAGUAACCAGAUAUUUAAAAAGUAUCUAGUAAAUCCUUUUGUAAAUCCCUAGAGGAGCUUCUGAUUGAAUGGAAUUCUUUCGUGAUCCCAUGAUGAGGUGAAUAAUUGUUUUCUGAUAUUCUUUUCUAGAAAUCCAGAUUCCCAAAUAUUAGAGAAUGAAAUUAAGAUGGGCACAUGUACCUAUACAUUAAUCAAUU
rnacentral:lncRNA from 1 species